GUAAAUAUAAUUUAAAGGUAAAAUGGUUGUUUGUGGGACAAUAUUUCUGAGUUCGAUUCUCAGUAUUUACC
rnacentral:tRNA from 1 species